GCUUGCUUUGGCAGCGCAUACACUAAAAUUGGAAGGAAUGAGAUUAUUAGCAUGGCCCCUGAGCAAGGUUAACAUGCAAGUUUGUGAAGCAUUCCAAAAAGAA
rnacentral:snRNA from 1 species